rnacentral:rRNA from 1 species
UACGAAGGGGGCUAGCGUUGCUCGGAAUCACUGGGCGUAAAGCGCACGUAGGCGGCUUUUUAAGUCAGGGGUGAAAUCCUGGAGCUCAACUCCAGAACUGCCUUUGAUACUGAGAAGCUUGAGUCCUGGAGAGGUGAGUGGAACUGCGAGUGUAGAGGUGAAAUUCGUAGAUAUUCGCAAGAACACCAGUGGCGAAGGCGGCUCACUGGCCCGGUACUGACGCUGAGGUGCGAAAGCGUGGGGAGCAAACAGG